GAUGAACGCUGGCGGCGUGCUUAACACAUGCAAGUCGAACGAUGAAGCCCAGCUUGCUGGGUGGAUUAGUGGCGAACGGGUGAGUAACACGUGAGUAACCUGCCCUCAACUCUGGGAUAAGCCUGGGAAACUGGGUCUAAUACCGGAUAGGAGCGCCUACCGCAUGGUGGGUGCUGGAAAGAUUUAUCGGUUUUGGAUGGACUCGCGGCCUAUCCGCUUGUUGGUGAGGUAAUGGUUCACCAAGGCGACGACGGGUAGCCGGCCUGAGAGGGUGAACGGCCACACUGGGACUGAGAGACGGACCAGUCGCCUACGGGAGGCAGCAGUCGGGAGUAUUGCACAAUGGGCGCAAGCCUGAUGCAGAGGCGCCGCGUGAGGGAUGACGGCCUUCGGGUUGUAAACCUCUUUCAGUAGGGAAGAAGCGAAAGUGACGGUACCUGAAGAAGAAGCACCGGCUAACUACGUG
rnacentral:rRNA from 1 species